rnacentral:rRNA from 1 species
GCCUACGGGGGGCAGCAGUAGGGAAUCUUCCACAAUGGGCGAAAGCCUGAUGGAGCAACGCCGCGUGGGUGAAGAAGGUCUUCGGAUCGUAAAACCCUGUUGUUAGAGAAGAAAGUGCGUGAGAGUAACUGUUCACGUUUCGACGGUAUCUAACCAGAAAGCCACGGCUAACUACGUGCCAGCAGCCGCGGUAAUACGUAGGUGGCAAGCGUUAUCCGGAUUUAUUGGGCGUACAGGGAACGCAGGCGGUCUUUUAAGUCUGAUGUGAAAGCCUUCGGCUUAACCGGAGUAGUGCAUUGGAAACU